rnacentral:rRNA from 1 species
GACGAACGCUGGCGGCGUGCUUAACACAUGCAAGUCGAACGGAAAGGCCCUGCUUUUGUGGGGUGCUCGAGUGGCGAACGGGUGAGUAACACGUGAGUAACCUGCCCUUGACUUUGGGAUAACUUCAGGAAACUGGGGCUAAUACCGGAUAGGAGCUCCUGCUGCAUGGUGGGGGUUGGAAAGUUUCGGCGGUUGGGGAUGGACUCGCGGCUUAUCAGCUUGUUGGUGGGGUAGUGGCUUACCAAGGGUUUGACGGGUAGCCGGCCUGAGAGGGUGACCGGCGACAUUGGGACUGAGAGACGGCCCAGACUCCAACGGGAGGCAGCAGUGGGAAAUCUUGCACAGUGGGCGGAAGCCUGAGGCAGCAACGCCGCGUGCGGGAUAACGGCCUUCGGGUGGAAAACCGCUUUCGCCUGUGACGAGGCGUGAGUGACGGUAAUGGGUCAAGAAGCACCGGCUAACUACGUG